rnacentral:lncRNA from 1 species
UCAAAAACACCCCUUAACUUCCAAUUUUCAUCAGCCGCGCAUGUCCAAACCUCUAAUCUCUAUCCAAUUCCUUUGUCAAGUGAUGACUUGAUAUCAAUAAGAAAGAAAAAAGGAAAAAUAGACAAAUUGCAUUCAAUCCCACUAAAAUCACUAAGGUUAGGGGGUUGUGAUGGGAACGAAGAUGUGUAUCGAUAUGGGGGAAAAAUGGUCUGAAAAGUAACUUUCAGAAUUUGACUUUCUUCUUGAUAUCAAGUCAUCACUUGACAUAGGAAUUGGAUGGAUAUUGGAGGUUUGGACAUGCGCGGCUGAUGAAAAUUAGAAGUUGAGGGGUGUUUUUGAUGAAAUUGAAAGAAGAAUGACUAACAUGAUAAUUGAUCUAAAGUUGAUGGGGGUAAACUGAAAUUAGUCCAAAAAGAAAAAGAAAAAAAGAGACAGAACCCAAAUGAACCGAUGUUAAUUGAAUGAUACAUGUGGUAGCACUCGAAAUUCGGGUCAUGAAUUCUAAAAGUAGUUUUUUUUUGGUUGCGUAUGAAACUAUGAAUUGUGGAGAAGAGUCAAGUUUAGGGAAGAAGUAGUUGUUUCAAUGGUCUUAGGGUAGGAGAUUAGAUUUCUAAUUGUGAUUUCCUUUUCUUUUUUAAUAAUAGAUGUCUGUUUUAGUCAUUAAACAUGCAUAAAAUAUUUGAUGUGAAACAUAAAUUAAUACGAGUGUGUAUUAAGAGAUUAGGGGUGUGUAUUUAAAAGGAGAAAUUAUUGGUCACUCCAUUAGCUUUCAUGCGCUCGACAGUUUACUCCAUUAACUUUCAAUUUCAAUCGAUUACUCCAUUAACUAUCCAAUGUCACACAAUUUGGUCCAUCCGUUAAGUCGCCGUCCAAAUCAGUGGUUAAGUUGCUGACUGGACAUAUUUUUCAACUGAAAAUUCCAUUUAACACCCCACCUNNNNNNNNNNNNNNNNNNNNUAUAAUAGGCUUUGGUUCAUAAACUUUUGUUGGAUUUGAGUGAGUGGAAAGUGAAGCCAAAACCACAGCUUACUUACUGUUUGGGAAGCCAUGGCUGGCCAAAGAGAGAGAGAGAGAGAGGUGGGGUGUUAAAUGGAAUUUCCAGUUGAAAAAUAUGUCCAGUCAGCAACUUAACCACUGAUUUGGACGGCGACUUAACGGAUGGACCAAAUUGUGUGACAUUGGAUAGUUAAUGGAGUAAUCGAUUGAAAUUGAAAGUUAAUGGAGUAAACUGUCGAGUGCAUGAAAGUUAAUGGAGUGACCAGUAAUUAAUUCUAUUUAAAAUUACUUGUAUUAUAUUGAUCUUGGUUUCAUAAUACAGAAAACAGUUUUGUAAUCAUGUAUCGAACAUGCCCUAAAUAAUAGGAAACAUCUUUGAUUUUCUUCUUUGAACAAGUUGCCUACACAUAUUAGACAUAGAAUCUAAGGUGUGGAAUGUUUGAGCCUCUGUCAUAUCUUUCUUAUAUGAUGCAGUGCAAAGGGGUUAACUCAUUUGGAAUUUCAAGGAGUCCAUAUUUAAGUUUAAUUAAUAUUAUUAUUUCAAAAUAUGUCUAUUUACUAAACUUGUUGAAUGAGUAUGAUUUAAUGUGGGAUUGGAAAGUGGGUAUUCUAGAAUGUAUUAGAAGAAAAGGGGGAUUAUGCAUUGUAUUAGUAUUUACUAGAGGGUUGAGUUAGCUCUUUAAAAGGGACAUCCAUGUAUGAGAAAUAUAGACUUUGUUUAUGAAUAUUUCUAUUAAGAAAAAUAGAGCUUUACUCUUUUUAUCAAUCUCAUUUCUUUAUAUGUGUCGUUGUUCUAGUUAUCAUCCUCUACUGAUCCGUUCCCGCAUCAUUUGGUACUAGAGCCACGCUACGCUCUUUGGGUUGCUUCCACUAAUCUCAUGGCGGUAAGAAGAGGUGGAGGAAAGCGUGGAAACCAUAUGAAAGAUGAGAAAUCAAUAGGUGAAGAACUUCAUGCACUUCGAAGAAAAGUUGAGAGAAUUGCCUUGCUAAUUGAAUGCCUAGAAGCUCGUAAGAAGCAUGGUGGAUCAAGAAGCGGGUAUCCUUAUCAUGAGACCAAGACAGAGAUACGAUCAAAUCAUCGACGUCGUCCAUCUCAAAGGUCUAAGAAUCACUUGUGGAAGGUUGGAUCAUCAAGAUUUCAAGAAUGGCUUGAAGUUGCAAGAGGCACUUAUGCAAAGGAAUGCGAGGUUGAAGAUGUUGAAGAUCUUGAGAUGGAGGUCAAAGAAUUCAAUAGGGAUUCAAAUAUGAAGGUAUGUCAUUUGUUUCCUUUUGAGUUAGAGAUUGAGCAUGGAGAUAAUAUUGAAGUAGAUUGAAAUUCACCACCCAUCUAUGAUGCAUAUCUUGAUGUUGAAUCUUUUGACCCAACAAAAGAAAAUAUUGAUGAAUCUCUUCAUGACAACAAUUUUGGUGAUACAUGCCUAAUUGGAGACCAAGAGUUUGAGUUUUCGAAAGAAGUACUUGCAUGCUCAGAUGAAUUACUUGAACCUAGUGAUUUGGAUGACAAAGUUUUAUUUAAUGAACAAGGUAAGAGUCAUGGUGCAUUUUUGGUUUAUGAAAAUGGUGGUGUAGAUUUGGAAACUAAAGUUGGGUUUUCACAUGCCUCACAAUGCUCCAUUAGAUUUGAAUUUCACUACCAUGAUCCUUUUUGGGAUGAUUUCAUGAAAGCUUAGAUCAAUACCAAGUCAAGAACAAAGAAUGAGUUAUUGCAAGUGUUGGAGCUUAAUGCAUGUAAUAUUUGUGCAUCAGAAAAACUUCUUCAAAGGAUUGAGUUGUGCGCCUCUUUUGUCGAGAUGCUACUUGUCAGCAUCACGAAGGAAACAAAGAGAAGCAAGAAGAUAGGGUGGUGACAUUAUGAACUUUUUGAUGAAUUUGAUUUCAAGCAUGCGAACUUAUGGACUAGUUCUUUCUCACCCCAGGGAGAAUGAUGCAAUGCAAAAGGGGGAUUAACUCAUUUGGAAUUUCAAGGAGUCCAUAUUUAACUUUAAUUAAUAGUUAUUAUUUCAAAAUAUGUCUAUUUAGUAGACUUGUUGAAUGAGUAUGAUUUAAUGUGUGAUUGGGAAGUGGGUAUUCUAGAAUGUAUUAGAAGAAAAUGGGGAUUAUGCAUUGUAUUAACAUUUAUUAGAGGGUUGGGUUAGCUCUUUAAAAGGAACAUCCAUGUAUGAGAAAGAUAGACUUUGUUUAUGAAUAUUUCUAUUAAGAAAAAUAGAGCUUUGCUCUCUUUAUCAAUCUCAUUUCUUUAGAUGUGUCUAUCUUGUUCUAGUUAUCAACCUCUACCGAUCCGUUCUCGCAUCAUUAUAAUAUGCAGACUCCAAUUAUAAAGUAAGAAGUUCAUCUUGCAUAAAAUCUUGAGAAUAAAAGCUCUUAGUAUGAGGUGGUGCAACUCGUUGGAGCUAUCUCAGAUCACGAGACCAUUAAACAUUGGGUAUAGAUAUAAUUAAUGACUACACGUGUGUUAUAUGAAGGUUGCAGAGAAUCAAAUGCAUGUGGCAAGGUUCUUUCGUGCAACCAAUAAAACCAAUGAGUAUUGCAACCCCAUUAUUAUGGCUGCUUUCAAACCUUUGAUUAUUAUUUACCUAUUAUUGAAGAUGUUUGACCCAUUAUACAAGUGUUUAUCCCGAACGUACCUUUCCAUUUGUUUGGGAUCCAAUUUAAUCAUCUUUUAGACACCGUUUAAUCUGGUUAUUCUAGAUACCGUUUAAUCUUUUAUUCUGGACAUUGGUAACUUCCCGGGGUUGUUGGUGUUCACCUUAGUCACCGGAGUUUUGUCUUUCUUUUUUGUUGAACUCGUGUUUUCUGCAAUUUGUUCUUCGGCUUUCUCUUCGCUUCCAGUUCGGUUUAGGGUUUAAGGAUCUUCUGUUUUUUUUUUAAAUUCCAAUUCGUACUCCUGUGUUUAGUUCCAUUUUGUUCUCUUCCUUAGUUCUUUAGUUAUUUGGUUUUCUAUUCAAUUGCUUUUGUUUGCUUCACUAUUGUAAACCUUGGGUCAGGCCUUUGUUAUGGCUAUGUUAUAUUCCUAGGUCUUGAGCCUUCUUUAAUGAAGUGGUUGUUUGACCCAAAAACAUCUAAAAACACAAGAUCGACCAAUAUUGUAGUAGAUCCAUUUGUAUUAUUGUAUACAUCAAUAAUGUUAGUACCGUAACAGUACAACAUCUAUAAACAACUUAUCAUCAUAUCAUCAUAUGACAAUUUUUUUCCAGUUCUUAUAUUUUAUUUGUAUUAUUGUAUAAAUCACAUGGAUUUAAUAACUUCAUGUUGGAUAGUACUACAAUAGCUUUAUCACUAUGAAUCCAAGUACUCGGGUUUCAAUAAUCAAUUGACUAGAAAAAAAAAACUCAUUUAAUAUAAAGCGAACACAAACUUUCAAAUCUCCAACAAACUUUCAAAUCUCCAGCAAACUUCAUAAGCACCCUCCUAUCUAAUUAGAUUCUAAAAGUUUUGAUUUUGAUUUUUAGGCAGUCACUUGGGAAAGUGGGGACUGAGGAGACGGGCUAAGGGCGACAAGCUCCGGGCCUCCGACCGACGGGCAACAGCUGCACGGUGCAAGCGACAGGGGAAGUAAGGAUUGAGAUUGAAGAGGAAGGUGUGAGAUUGAAGAGGAAGAAUUACGGAACUAGGGACCUAGCUAGGAUAGACUGAUGUGUUUUAAAAUGUUACUCGCAAGCGCACGAAUCAGUUGCAGCACAAAUAUGCAAGAGCGAGAUUGAACCCACAGGGAAUGUAUGAAAAUAGGAAAAACUAAUCGAAUCCAAAUUAAUUUAACACCAACGUAGUUGAAUGAAAGUUGAUGGUGAAGUAGCUAAAACAAAUAAAAUAGAUAAAAGUUACAUUGAUGACGAAGUAACUAAGGCAUCGGAUUUCACCACAUUACUCAAUAAGAUAUAUUACUUACCAAUUCCCGAAUUAUGAGUAGCAAUCUAGAAAUCAAUAUAUUGCUUUAUCAAGAUUUAACAAUGAAACACAUAUGAAAUUUAUCUAAAGUAGACUCUUCUUCGCUUCUUAAUUAUGAACACCAAAGCAUCACAUGUACACAAAUUUAUUGAAACUACAAAAGAUCAAAGUGUUUACAAAGCAUCAAAUGUGAAACAAGCCCAUUUGAAUGACAAUAGACCAAAGGAUUUCAUUUUAAAUAUUUUACAAAGCGAAGCAUGGAUUAAUAAAAGUGAUUUCCAAACUACCAAAAAUGCAUGACAUUAAAGGUGAAAGGAACAAAAAUCUUAUUAAUGCAUUUUGAAGCAAGAGUCAUAGACAUGAAUAACAUAAUUAUGGGAAUCGACAGAUAAUUAAGAGAAACUUAUUUUAUAAUGUGGUUUCCUCCUUAACUUUAGUUAAGGAAAUUAGCAACACAUAGUACAAAUUGAAAACAUGUUUAAAACAAUACAAAACAUCAUAGGAAAAAUAGCUAAAGAAAGGGAAGAACAAAAGCAACAAUAUGUCUCUCAAUCUCCACUCUCUCCCCCCUCUCCUUAUUCUCUUGAAAACAAGCUCUAUUUAUAGAGCAACAUUGAGCUUCAUUACAACUUCAUCUCCAUGUGAAAAUAACUUUCCUUCUUCAAACUUCUCAUGCUUGAUGACAACAUAUUUCUUCACCCAUAAAUGUUUUCAUACAUCACUUUCUCUUCAUCUACAACAUCAUUUGCUUCUCUCAUUUUUCAUGUACAAGAGUACGUAGACAAACUUUGAAGAAUUAGAAGUGAGCUCCUAGAUUCAUACAAGUUUGUUCCAUGCAAUCUUGUCUUUGGAAAUUUUUCAUGCACUUUUCCAUUUGUAUCAAUGCAUAUCUACGUACCUAUGAAUCAAAUGAGUAAAGUGAAUUCAACAAUUGAAAGCUAAGGUAUAUAUUUUCAAUACAACACACAUAAUGCAAUGGGAAAGCAUUCCACCAAUAGGCACAUGCUAUUAGAACAAUGAAAACAUAUGUUACACUUAGUUAUUUAAUUAAAGGGAAAAAAGACUCAUGUUUAAAACAAUGACUCAAUUUACUAUAAAAAUAGAUAAAUUGCUUCAUAACUUUAACAUUUCAUUUAUUUAGACAUAACAUCUAUAAGAACACAAAAACAAACUAAAUAACUCAAACUAAUUAAAACAAGUAACUAACAUAUAUAAAUCAGGGAUAAUAAUAUGAUAUAAAAUGUGCUCAUCAUAGACGACUAGACGGGGAAGUAGGAUGCAACCUUAACAUGGAACGACAUCAUUUACAUAUAUAUAUAUAUAGACACACACACACACACAGAGGAAGGAUUGAGAGCGAACGUCCGCGCUUUAAAAUGCAGACAAUCCACUUGUGAGCACUUUAUUGGUUGGUACAAUCGUUCAACAAGUCGACCUAAUUUCAGCUAUAUACGUGGGUCCCAUCGACAACAUCUUCUCUAAUUUCCCUUCAAGUGUUAACUAUCACCACAAUCUCCCACCGCAGUUUCAUCACCAUACUUCUACUUGGAUUGACUAUGAUUUCUAUGAAUCAAUCCAAAAGAAACAAAAAUGAAAGCUUCACAUCAUUAAUUGAUCGCUUUACAUCAUUGAUCAACUGUUAGAGCUUUUCAUUGAUUUAUAAUCUCAAACCCACAACAGAAACCCAGAUGCUAGAUCCAACCAGGUAACCAUGAAUUAAUGCAAACUAUCAAAUAAAAAAAUCAUAUUUUCAAUACAUCAGUGCCAAACAAAACAUCUAGUGCAAGUCAUCCUCUUCGUCCCAUCUCAAUCUUCUGCCAAUCUACCUUAUCAUCUACGUGGCUUUCAUUUACCCUAGCUAGCCAUGGCUUUGCCGGAGUUGGACGACGAUGGGUCACUGAAUCUGCCCAAUAAAAUUAAAAAGAUACCCAACAAACUAGAAAUAAGAAGAGCAAAAACAUGUCGAUUGAAUGAAGAGUUUGGAUUUGGAGGCAGAAAAUGAAACGGGUCGGAGAAUGAUCCUAACCCAUCUUGUUAUAAUAGUUAGUUCCUAAUGAGCAUAUAGACAAGUUAAUAUUGUGGCUUUGAUUCUGGUUUUGUCAAUUGAAUGUUUUCUGGCAGAACGAUUGAUUAGGGAAGUAGCGAAGGAUUUUGGGUAUGCAGCUUUUGAAGAGAAAACACAAAGGCCAGAAGAUUAGAGAAGAUGAUGUCGGUGGGACCUGCGUAUAUAGCUGAGAUUAGGUCGACUUGUUGAACGAUUGUACCAACCAAUAGAGUACUCACACGUGGAUUGUCCGCAUUUUAACAAAAGCACGAACGUUCACUCUCAAUCCUUGUAUAUAUAUAUGAUGUGAUGUAGUUUUUUUUUUUUUUUUUUAGGCUUCAAAUUCUCACCUUGGCUCUAGUCCGGUCAAACCUAAAGCUGACUUCACCUCUAGACGUGGAUAUCAGGCUUCGCCGCCUGAGCAUAAGAAGAAAGCAAUAGUAUUUGGUUUUGUUUUAUUCAAGAAAAAGAACAACACUUUCUCUAGCUGAAAUGUAGUAUAUGCAAAAUUUCAACCGCUAUUUCCUAAUAUAAUCUGCUACACAUAGCCACAAAGUAUUACUUGAUUGAGUAGCUCAUGUCAUAAGCUUACACAAGCAAGACAUACACGCUUGAGAAAUAUUAGAGAAGAAAUUUGUUCAAGUAACAAAAUGGAUUUCAUGUUUUUUUUUUUUAAAUGUAAAUCGUUAUAUGUACAAAAUGAAGUAAAUGACUAUAUAGAAUGGCUCACCUGCUUCUCAUGCCCUACAUAUGUACAAAAUGAACUUCAGCUUUGGAAUGAAAUUUACCCCACCCCAAGGAGAGUGAAACGAAAACAGAUCUGAGAGUUUUGUCUCCUCCCCUUUCUCUCUUGCCCAGAUCUAGAUCUAUCUGGGUCUCGAUCGAAGGCUGAGAGUUGGGGGUGGAUCUUACAUCUCCUUCUUCUAGCUUCCUUAGUAAUCUUCUCACCCUUUUGUAGUAUUAUUUUACCCGUUUUGUGGUGAUUUUCUGGUUGAUGUCUAGAUCGGGAGGAUUUUGUUCCUCAAAUUGUCUUUUCAGUUUUUCUCAUUGUCAUCCAAUCUCAUAUGCUUCAAGAUCUAAGAUUACUCAACCCCUCAAUAGAUCAACUCUCUCUACUCAUUACCUCUAAGAAGAUGUCUAUGGUUGCAAGUAUAAAGUGCAAGUCACUUACCCACGCGAUUAUGGGUGCUCACGCAUGGGUUUUACACCCCCCCAUUCUCCAUCGGUCUCGUUCUUGUUCUCGUUCUAUGUUAUGGUUCUUGGUUACAACUUGGUAGCCAUGUUUCUUUCUUGAGAAGUGUUGUUAUGGUGGAAGGAUUGGUGUUGUUUUGUGGGAUCUCCUCUCUUUGGAGGCUGAGUGUUUUAUGGUCUGUGGUUUAGGAUUUGGCUGGCAACGGAACAUCAACUUGCUCAUCCAUGCAUGUCGUUCUGCCUCCGGUGGUUGAUCAAUGGCUUUAUAGAUCGGUAGCGACUGCGACGGCGACGGCGACGGCGACGGAAGAGGCAGCAGCUAGGGUUUGCUUGGGUGGCCGCUGGUUUAGCUUUGAUGUGUUUUGUGUAAUUUUAUUUUUAUCUUUAGGGUUACCAUUUUUACCUUUUCAUGUGGAUUGGGUUGAGUGGUAACUUCCCUAAUGUUUAUCUGUACUUGGGCCUUAUUUGGGCUCUUCCAUUGGACUUUCCCCUUUGGUAAUCAUUAAUAAAACUUUUCAUUAAUUCCAAAAAAAAAAUGUACAAAUUUAAGUAGAUGUAGUGGCUUGCAUGCUUCUCAUACCUUAAAGGUCACAUUCGAUUUGUAACAGGUCGCGAAUUUACAAUGGAUUUCACUCGGAGCAAUUAUAAUUAUGAAAAAUUGUAACAAUUUUCUUUUUUAGAAUGAAUUAAAAGCAACUUAAAAGGAAAAAAAUGGUGGAAUAAAUGUAAAAAGGUGACAUGAUGUCAUAUUGUAAGGCUUG